rnacentral:rRNA from 1 species
UACGGAGGAUGCGAGCGUUAUCCGGAUUUAUUGGGUUUAAAGGGUGCGUAGGCGGCCUUUUAAGUCAGCGGUGAAAGUCUGUGGCUCAACCAUAGAAUUGCCGUUGAAACUGGGGGGCUUGAGUAUGUUUGAGGCAGGCGGAAUGCGUGGUGUAGCGGUGAAAUGCUUAGAUAUCACGCAGAACCCCGAUUGCGAAGGCAGCCUGCCAAGCCAUGACUGACGCUGAUGCACGAAAGCGUGGGGAUCAAACAGG